AGACCAUGAUGAGGGCAACACUUGAACAGAUCUUUAUAUCUUUCCUAGGCUUUAUACAAUGAUUCAGCAUCUAAUUGCAUGAACAAUGUGAUAUCAUUCCUUAUCUU
rnacentral:snoRNA from 1 species